AUUGAACGCUGGCGGCAGGCCUAACACAUGCAAGUCGAACGGUAGCACAGAGAGCUUGCUCUCGGGUGACGAGUGGCGGACGGGUGAGUAACGUCUGGGAAACUGCCCGAUGGAGGGGGAUAACUACUGGAAACGGUAGCUAAUACCGCAUAACGUCGCAAGACCAAAGUGGGGGACCUUCGGGCCUCACACCAUCGGAUGUGCCCAGAUGGGAUUAGCUAGUAGGUGGGGUAAUGGCUCACCUAGGCGACGAUCCCUAGCUGGUCUGAGAGGAUGACCGGCCAGACUGGAACUGAGACACGGUCCAGACUCCUACGGGAGGCGGCAGUGGGGAAUAUUGCACAAUGGGCGCAAGCCUGAUGCAGCCAUGCCGCGUGUAUGAAGAAGGCCUUCGGGUUGUAAAGUACUUUCAGCGGGGAGGAAGGCGGUGGAGUUAAUAACUUCACCGAUUGACGUUACCCGCAGAAGAAGCACCGGCUAACUCCGUGCCAGCCGCCGCCGUAA
rnacentral:rRNA from 1 species